UGGGGAAGGGUGGAUGAUCCCCUGAGGUCCCUUCCAGCUCCUACGAUUCUGUGAUUCUGUAAAAUUAAGGAAUCCAAUUUAGUAUGAAUAAUGGUAUUCCCUUCAAUUAUUUGCUGUUACAGGACUACUUACUCUGUGGAAGGACCUUUAUUAUAUAGCAUGGGCUCUGAUCUCCACAUGACAUUCACCACUGGCCACACUCUGUAGCAGCAGAAACUCCCACGUUGGAGAUAUGUCCAUUGGGUGGAAGCUGACCAAGUAUAGAGGGCUCUGUGUCCAACAGUACACUGCUUUGUGGUUCAGGAGGCCUGAGCUUUGUGUCCAACUUCCUUGGAAAUGCAGAAACUCUGAAAUUAGGAGAAUUUGAAACAAAAUACCUGGAGACAGCAGAGGCAAAACUUUAGAGAAAGAUAGUGCUGUUGGAUGUUCCCUUCUGGUAAAGACCAUGGAACAGGUACUCCUUUUAUUUCCAUGUAUUUACAGUUGUGUUUCCACAUGAGCAUCAUGGCCUUGCAAACUGUUUUGGCUGCAGUACAGCAUUAGUUUCUCAGGCACACAUUUCUGGAUUUUCCCGAUAGAAUAAACACCUGUAAGAAGGAAACA
rnacentral:lncRNA from 1 species